rnacentral:rRNA from 1 species
CCAAUAGCGUAUAUUAAGGUUGCUGCGGUUAAAAAGCUCGUAGUUGAAUUUCGGGAUUGACACAUCGGUCGUGCCUUAAGGGGUAUGAACUGGCGUAGCCAAUUCCUCGUCUUCUGGUGAAUUGUGAUGCCUCUUUAACUGGGUGUUUCAAUGAACUAGGACUUUUACUUUGAAAAAAUUAGAGUGUUUAAAGCAGGCAUUAUUUGCUUGAAUACAUUAGCAUGGAAUAAUAAAAUAGGACGGAUGAUUCUAUUUUGUUGGUUUCUAGGAUCACUGUAAUGAUUAAUAGGGAUAGUUGGGGGCAUUAGUAUUCAAUUGUCAGAGGUGAAAUUCUUGGAUUAAUUGAAGACUAACUACUGCGAAAGCAUUUGCCAAGGAUGUUUUCAUUAAUCAAGAACGAAAGUUAGGGGAUCGAAGACGAUUAGGUACGUCGUAGUCUUAACCAUAAACUAUGCCGACUAGGAAUCAGACAACGUUAAAUUUUUAAUGACUUGUUUGGCACCUUACG